rnacentral:lncRNA from 1 species
GCUGGUGGUCCUCACUAACAUGAGAGCUGGCGUGUGCCGCCUGUGUUCCUGAGCACGUGGUGCCGGUUCGCCACGUGCGCUUUGCCACUAACCUCGCCCGUUGUCUCCCUCAGCGUCACGUGACCAAGGGUACAGGGUUCCUUUUUUUUUUUUUUUUUUUUUGGAGACGAGUCUCACUCUGUUGCCCAGGCUGGAGUGCAAUGGUGUGAUCUCUGAUCUCAGCUCACUGCAGCCAUAACUUCCUGGGCUGAAGCAAUCCUCCUGCCUCAGCCUCCUGAGUAGCUGGGACUACAGGCACGGUCAGCACACCUGGCAAAUUUUUUAUGUUUUGUAGAUGGGCUCACCUUGUUGCCUAGGCUGGUCUUGAACUACUAGGCUCAAGCGAUCUUCCCACCUCAGCUUCCCAAGGCACUGGGAUUACAGGCUUGAGCCACCGUGCCCAGCUUCUCUUUUCUGAAUGAAAGUUGCACACCUACUGGGUGGCAGUCCACAGGGCACUGUGAGGAGCCAGGCUGGGCCCUCCCCGGCUGCCAUUUCUCCCUCUGUGUGGACACCAGGCCCUCCGUGCUUGGCUCUGUGUGGACACCAGGCCCGCCGUGCUCGGCUCUGCGUGGACACCAGGCCCACCGUGCUCCCGUACAGAGCUCUAUGUGGACACCAGGCCCACCGUGCUCCCGUACAGAGCUCUAUGUGGACACCAGGCCCACCGUGCUCCCGUACAGAGCUCUGUGUGGACACCAGGCCCUCCGUGCUCCCGAGCUGCCUUUCUCCUCCGGCCUAUCUGGCUGGCUGGUAGAAUUCUUGGGCCAAAGUCGCUUUCUUCAGAACUGCAAGUGGCCUUAGGUUUCCUGCUGCCUGUGGUUGCUGAGACCCCAGGGCCGUUCUGCCUGCAGCCCCUUUCAGGGUCCGUUUCCCUGGGACCUGCAGGGCUUCACCCUCAACCCCCUUGGGCCUGACUGCAUGCCCUUCAGCUGGGGAGUGUUCUAGAAUGUUCCCUGUGGUUUCCCUCCCUCAGCCUUGUCUCUCCUCCCCUCUCCCUUGCCUGUGGAGUAUAGACUGGCUGCCAGUGUAGGGGAGCUGAGCGGGGUCCAAGGUCUGGGGCCUCUUGGGAUUCAGCCCCAUUGUCACCCCAGCCUGCCCUCACGGCCUCACACACUCUUGACUGCAGGCUUCCUGGGCUGGGGCCCAGUACUCCUGCCCUGGUCCUCUACAAACGAGGCCGAGGUUCCCAGGACCACUGCCCCCCAGCUGGCCCCUGGCUGUCACCUGCUUUUCAGCAUCCAGACUAGUCGAUUUUGGUGUUGUCCUGCUCCCUUUACCAUGUGGUUAGUGCCUUUACAAGAAUUCCUUGGCUUUCCCCUCCAUGAGGCUUUGCGAGGGAGCAAGAGUGGAUGCCUGCAUUGCCCAGCUGUCUGCAACUGAGGUCCCCGCGUCCCAUGCAGUAGGCCAGGCCUGGCCACCACUUGUCCCUGGACUCUGGACAGCCAGGCUGGCUCUGCAGAGCAGCUCCAGGUCUCAUGGCCCUGACGAAACCACGGCACCUCCUGGCCACCCUCACAGUAAACAUUGAUGGUUAAGGACGCAGUGCUUUCAAGGGAGCCCAGGACUUGGCACUGACUUGUCGGUUUCCAGAGGCUUUUGGAAACAAAAACGCCUUCAGCUUGUCGGUGCCAAUGGCCCGUGUGGUUCAUUAUGUGGACCAGCCCCUGCCACGCUGCACCCAAGCACUGCCCACCCUGGGGGCAGGCACGCAGAGGUCAUGCUGUUGAUUUCAUUCCAGGCCUGCGCCACCUCCGGGAGCUCAAGGCUAGGGAGGAUUGGCCAGAGGAAGCACCUGGUGCUGAACUAGCCUUGCCCUGCUGUGAACUUGCACUUGGAGCCCUGACGCUGCUGUUCUCCCCGAAGAACCC